rnacentral:rRNA from 1 species
GUAGGGAGCAAGCGUUGUUCGGAAUUAUUGGGCGUAAAGAGCGCGUAGGCGGUUCGGUAAGUCUGAUGUGAAAUCCCAGAGCUUAACUCUGGAACUGCAUUGGAUACUGCCGAGCUUGAGUGUGGGAGAGGAGAGUGGAAUUCCCAGUGUAGAGGUGAAAUUCGUAGAUAUUGGGGGAACACCCGUGGCGAAGGCGGCUCUCUGGACCACAACUGACGCUGAGGCGCGAAAGCUAGGGUAGCAAACGGGAUUAGAUACCCCGGUAGUCCUAGCCGUAAACGAUGGGCACUAGGUGUUGGAGGUAUCGACCCCUCCAGUGCCGCAGCUAACGCAUUAAGUGCCCCGCCUGGGGAGUACGGUCGCAAGACUA